GAUGAACGCUAGCGGGAGGCUUAACACAUGCAAGUCGAGGGGUAAAUGGUAGCAAUACUAUGAGACCGGCGAACGGGUGCGUAACGCGUAUGCAACUUACCUUAUGCAGGGGGAUAGCCCGUGGAAACGCGGAUUAAUAUCCCAUAGAUCAGUAAUAUCGCAUGGUAUAACUGGUAAAACUCAGGUGGCAUAAGAUGGGCAUGCGUCUGAUUAGCUAGUUGGUAGGGUAACGGCCUACCAAGGCGACGAUCAGUAGGGGUUCUGAGAGGAUUAACCCCCACACUGGUACUGAGACACGGACCAGACUCCUACGGGAGGCAGCAGUGAGGAAUAUUGGUCAAUGGGCGCAAGCCUGAACCAGCCAUCCCGCGUGAAGGAAGAAGGCCCUACGGGUUGUAAACUUCUUUUCUGUUUUGAAGAAUAAGCUCGUCGAGACGAGUGAUGCCGGUAGGACAGGAAUAAGCAUCGGCUAACUCCGUGCCAGCAGCCGCGGUAAUCU
rnacentral:rRNA from 1 species